rnacentral:rRNA from 1 species
GUCCCGUAGUUGGGGGAUAGUCCCGGGGAAAGCCGGGAUUAAUACCUGCUAUAUGCUCUACUGGAGGAAAGCGGGGGGAUUCUGGCAAGAACCUCGCGCUAUGUGGAGCGUGGUCGAUAGUCCGAUUAGCUUGUGGUGAGGUAAAGGCUUACCAAGGCGACGAUCGGUAGCUGGUCUUGAUGAGGAUGAUCAGCCACACUGGGACUGAGACACGGCCAGACUCAAUACGGGAGGCAGCAGUGGGGAAUUUGGACAAUGGGGGAAACCCUUGAUCCAGCCAUGCCGCGUGCGGGGAAGAAGGCCUUCGGGUUGUAAACCGCUUUUGUCCGGGAAGAAAUGGCAUCCCCUAAUACGGGAUGUUCCUGACCGGUACUGGAAGGAAUAAGCACCGGUAACUACGUGCCAGCAGCCGCGGUAAUACGUAGGGUGCGAGCGUUAAUCGGGAAUUACUGGGCGUAAAAGCGUGCGCAGGGCGGUUCGUUAAAGUCUGAAUGUGAAAGCCCCGGGGCUCAAACCUGGGGAAU